rnacentral:rRNA from 1 species
CCCGCGGCGCGGCCUACAUGCAAGUCGAGCGGUAGCACAGAGAGCUUGCUCUCGGGUGACGAGCGGCGGACGGGUGAGUAAUGUCUGGGAAACUGCCUGAUGGAGGGGGAUAACUACUGGAAACGGUAGCUAAUACCGCAUAACGUCGCAAGACCAAAGAGGGGGACCUUCGGGCCUCUUGCCAUCAGAUGUGCCCAGAUGGGAUUAGCUAGUAGGUGGGGUAAUGGCUCACCUAGGCGACGAUCCCUAGCUGGUCUGAGAGGAUGACCAGCCACACUGGAACUGAGACACGGUCCAGACUCCUACGGGAGGCAGCAGUGGGGAAUAUUGCACAAUGGGCGCAAGCCUGAUGCAGCCAUGCCGCGUGUAUGAAGAAGGCCUUCGGGUUGUAAAGUACUUUCAGCGAGGAGGAAGGCAUUGUGGUUAAUAACCGCAGUGAUUGACGUUACUCGCAGAAGAAGCACCGGCUAACUCCGUGCCAGCAGCCGCGGUAAUACGGAGGGUGCAAGCGUUAAUCGGAAUUACUGGGCGUAAAGCGCACGCAGGCGGUCUGUCAAGUCGGAUGUGAAAUCCCCGGGCUCAACCUGGGAACUGCAUUCGAAACUGGCAGGCUAUAGUCUUGUAGAGGGGGGUAGAAUUCCAUGUGUAGCGGUGAAAUGCGUAGAUAUCUGGGAAUACCGGUGUCGAAUGGAGGCCCCCUGGACAAAUACUGACUCUCAAGU